UGGGGAAUCUUGCGCAAUGGUCGCAAGGCUGACGCAGCGACGCCGCGUGGAGGACGAAGGCCUUCGGGUUGUAAACUCCUUUUCUGGGGGACGAAUAAGGUCAGCAGGCAAUGGUUGACCGAUGACGGUACCCCAGGAACAAGCGCCGGCUAACUUCGUGCCAGCAGCCGCGGUAAGACGAAGGGCGCAAGCGUUAUCCGGAAUCACUGGGCGUAAAGGGCGUCUAGGCGGUCAAUCAAGUCGACGUUGAAAGCCCUUGGCUAAACUGAGGGAGGUACGUCGAAACUGAUUGGCUCGAGGAACGUAGAGGAAGGCGGAACUCUCGGAGUAGCGGUGAAAUGCGUAGAGACCGAGAGGUACCCCGAUGGUGAAGACAGCCUUCUGGGCGUUUCCUGACGCUGAAGCGCUAAGGCCAGGGGAGCGAAGG
rnacentral:rRNA from 1 species